UUGAUCUCCCCGUGCAAAAGCGGGGAUACACCCAUAAGACGAGAAGACCCUAUGGAGCUUUAGAUGUUACAACAAGCAUUAUGUGCUAUUCCCAAACAAAGGGGAUAACCACUAGCCCCUGCCCAAACAUCUUCGGUUGGGGUGACCAUGGGAAACAAGAAACUCCCACGUCUCUGUAUUGGAAUCUCCUUAUUUUGACCCAAAAAAACUUCUUCAAACGAGAGCCACCGCUCUAGUUCAACAGAAUUUCUGACCACCGAUCCGGCAACGCCGAUUAACGAACUAAGUU
rnacentral:rRNA from 1 species